UACUAGAGGAGAAAAGUCAUCAGUGGUCUUCCCCAGUGGUGAAUCCUGCAUGCUACAAUACUGACCUGCAAGGCGAGAUAUACCUGCCUACUGGUGCAAUAGUGCAUGAACAUUAGGGGGCAACCAAAUUCUUUCUGAUUGGAUUUGAAGCCUACUUCACAGAAGGGAAUUAUUUUGGUGUUUUGCCUGGCAUGUAUUUGUGUGUGCCAUAUGCAAGAAGUGCCUCUAGAGGUCAGAACAGGGAGUCGGAUCCUCUGGAAGUGGAAUUGGAAGCUAUUUGGGUGAUGGAAAAAAAGCCUGGGUCCUCUGGAAGAGCAGCAAGUGCUCUUAACCACCGAACCAUCUCUCCUGCCCCAGAAGGCAUUUCUUGCUUGACUGUAAACCUGGCCCAAAGCCAAUGUCCCUGUAGUUCAUGAUAGGGUGGGGGAGGACCCACUACUGUUGGGGUGGAUGGAUAUGUUUUCAAACUGCUUUCUAAGUAUUUAUGAUUAUAGUGAUAAAUUCAUGCUGUUCUCAGCCUUCGUAAGCUUCUUCCUACAGUGGGCAACAGUUAAUGUGGAGUCCUACAAACAACCAAAGGGCUGAGAAUAAAUCACUGUUGACUAUUUAGUCCUAGGGGAGACUCAGGGAACAUCCUGAAAGAAGGGCCAGGAAGAACAUAAGAGCAGGAGGCAGGGAGGAGCGCCUUGGGAUGCUGUCUUCUGGAUGUGACAUGGUCGUUGCCCUCACGGCAGCUGUGGUCAUCUGCACAAGAUCAAGCCAACAAACUCAGUCAGUGCUCCAGAAGGGGGGAACUGGGCUUAGUAUGUUACAAGGACAACAGAAGAGGACAUGAGAGUGGGAGAGGAUGUCUAGUGGUGCCCUGGGGAGUGGGAGAGAAGAUACAUUGUCUCAUGUAUCCCCCAAAUAGAUAAAAACUAUUCUUUACAGAUAAUUGAAGUUUGAAAACAAGUUCUAUGUACGAAAACCAAGGAAGAAAAUGGCGUUAACAGGUACCCAAGAGUUAAAAUGUAGCUUGACAGAAGAUAGCUCAGACGGUAGGCCACUUACCUAGCAGGCAUAAGACUCUAAGUUUGAUCUCACAGAAAGGAAAAGAGAAUUAAAACUAUACUUGAAAAUGACUUCAUUCACAGAGUAUCCUAAGGGAUUCACUGAAGAUUAAUUAUGAUGGAGAAAAAUGAAAGCCGCAGUGAGAUUUCACCUCACCACCGUUAGGACAACUAUGAUAAGCCGAAUGGGAAGAAUCAGAAGACCUAAGUGUUGACAAGAACGUAAAGAAAUGGUGGUGGUGACACCUUUAAUCCAGCAGCACUCUGAAGGCAGAGGCAGCACUUGGUGGAAUUUCCCCGCUGGAGUUGGGACCUGUGCUGAGAAAUGAAAACCUAUGCCUUUGGCUGCUGGCACGUGGUGAUCUACGUCAUCAGUCACGUCCAGGGGUCGGACUUAUGAUUUUUGCCUUUAUAAGCCUGCUGCUUUGCAAUAAAGUUGAGCCUUGAUCAGAA
rnacentral:sRNA from 1 species